rnacentral:snRNA from 9 species
AUACUUACCUGGCGUAGAGAUAUCGAGAUCAUGCAGGCGGUUCCCCCAGGAUGAGGAUGCUCCAUUGUACUGCGGUGUGGUGGUGGUUGACUCUUGCGAUUAUUCUUAUUUUUAUAAGGUUCACUUCUAGUUUCUACCGUGUGUGAAUUGCACAAACACAUU